AUGUGACACGCAUACAUUCCGGUUCCCGCGCGCCGGCCACACCCGCCCGAGGGCCGCUCGUUACGUUUUGUUGGCC
rnacentral:sRNA from 7 species